rfam:Triticum aestivum genome assembly, contig: Triticum_aestivum_CS42_TGACv1_scaffold_404848_5BL
CAACUACUCCCUCUGUCCCAAAUUUCUGGUCUUAGAUUUUUCUAGAUACGGAUGUAUCUAAUACUAAAAUGUGACUUGAUACAUCUGUAUCUAGACAAAUCCAAGACAAGAAUUUUGGGACGGAGGGAGUACUUU